GCUAAACGCGAAGAACCUUACCCACCUUUGACAUGUACGGAAUCCUUUAGAGAUAGAGGAGUGCUCGAAAGAGAGCCGUAACACAGGUGCUGCAUGGCUGUCGUCAGCUCGUGUCGUGAGAUGUUGGGUUAAGUCCCGCAACGAGCGCAACCCUUGCCAUUAGUUGCUACAUUUAGUUGAGCACUCUAAUGGGACUGCCGGUGACAAACCGGAGGAAGGUGGGGAUGACGUCAAGUCCUCAUGGCCCUUAUAGGUGGGGCUACACACGUCAUACAAUGGCUGGUACAAAGGGUUGCCAACCCGCGAGGGGGAGCUAAUCCCAUAAAGCCAGUCGUAGUCCGGAUCGCAGUCUGCAACUCGACUGCGUGAAGUCGGAAUCGCUAGUAAUCGUGGAUCAGAAUGUCACGGUGAAUACGUUCCCGGGUCUUGUACACACCG
rnacentral:rRNA from 1 species